GACGAACGCUGGCGGCGUGCUUAACACAUGCAAGUCGAACGGAAAGGCCCUGCUUUUGUGGGGUGCUCGAGUGGCGAACGGGUGAGUAACACGUGAGUAACCUGCCCUUGACUUUGGGAUAACUUCAGGAAACUGGGGCUAAUACCGGAUAGGGGCUCCUGCUGCAUGGUGGGGGUUGGAAAGUUUCGGCGGUUGGGGAUGGACUCGCGGCUUAUCAGCUUGUCGGUGGGGUAGUGGCUUACCAAGGCUUUGACGGGUAGCCGGCCUGAGAGGGUGACCGGCCACAUUGGGACUGAGAUACGGCCCAGACUCCUACGGGAGGCAGCAGUGGGGAAUAUUGCACAAUGGGCGGAAGCCUGAUGCAGCAACGCCGCGUGCGGGAUGACGGCCUUCGGGUUGUAAACCGCUUUCGCCUGUGACGAAGCGUGAGUGACGGUAAUGGGUAAAGAAGCACCGGCUAACUACGUG
rnacentral:rRNA from 1 species